UUCCCGAGAACCCGCAUAUUUUUUAAGCUUUUGGGGGCACUAACUGAAGGGCUUUUCCUUAGCGAACUUCUUAAUCUUGAAGCCCGAACGGAAAAUAAAAAGCGCACCCAGCCCAACUUCCGGAGGACCAAGAUCGCGAAGAACAACCAGGAAGCGGCCUGGCUGGGAGCUACCCCGGCUUCUCCGCUCCGCUCUUUAGGGAGCUUCCCGCGUUCCUACACCGUCUUUUCCUGCCCCGCGUAGCCCCAGCCCUGACCUAGGCUCCGGCCCGGGCCGGCCACUCCGGAGCCGCCAUGUCGUCCGACUUCGAAGGCUACGAGCAGGACUUCGCGGUGCUCACUGCAGAGAUCACCAAUAAGAUUGCGAGGGUCCCCCGACUCCCGCCUGAUGAGAAGAAGCAGGUGGUUGCAAAUGUGGAGAAACAGCUCGAAGAAGCGAAAGAACUGUUGGAACAGAUGGAUUUGGAAGUCCGAGAGAUACCUCCCCAAAGUCGAGGGAUGUACAGCAACAGGAUGAGAAGCUACAAGCAAGAAAUGGGAAAACUUGAGACAGAUUUUAAAAGGUCACGGAUUGCCUACAGUGACGAAGUACGGAAUGAGCUCCUAGGGGAUGAUGGGAAUUCCUCAGAGAACCAGUUGAUAAAAUUACGUGAAGAGAGGGCACAUCUGCUCGAUAACACAGAGAGGCUGGAAAGGUCAUCUCGGAGACUAGAGGCUGGGUACCAAAUAGCAGUGGAAACCGAACAAAUUGGCCAGGAGAUGUUGGAAAACCUCAGUCAUGACAGAGAAAAGAUACAGAGAGCACGUGAAAGACUUCGGGAAACAGAUGCUAACUUGGGGAAAAGCUCCAGGGUUCUGACAGGGAUGUUGAGAAGGCUACUCAGGAGCAAGGUUAAGUUCCUGGGACACUUCCAGCCCACGCUGACACCACUCCACAUGCCCCUCCUUCUCCUACACCCACAGUCCCCAAUUCAAAACCAUAAACCACCAAAUUCUCAGAUUAGGGGUAAUAUGUAAAUGACCUAGAAAAAUUCAAAAUCCACAGAGAAGCGGCAAUUGAAAGGAAUGCUUCAGUGCAUAUGAACAAUAAAAAAGAAAAAAAGUGGAAAAUUCUCUGUUGCUUCCUUGGGAGGGCCCCUGCAAUGGGAGCUGUAACGAAUAUUCUGCAUAUGUCUCCAUUUUGUCAAACCUCAUUAAAGAGUCCUCCCGCUUUAUGUCAGUUGAGCUGUCCAGAAAUCAUUCAUCAUUUUUAGUGUAAAAAAAAAUCAUGUGGUUAUUUAAAUAAUAUCAUAUUAAUGUUAAAGUUCAGCUGUCAUUUAAUGGUAUGGCUUAAUCAGAUGUAGCAUUUAGGAAAAAUAGUUUAUCCAGGCUCUGUGUGGCUUUCAGGUUGGCAGAUUCAAAUAAGGAUUUAUGGGUUUCUAAACCAACGUAUUUCUGUCCACAUUUCUGCUUGAUGUACCUCACCCUUUUGUGCAGGACACUGCCGACAGUCAUUUCAGCAAAUAACGCCUCUCCUCAUAUUGUGUUUGAAUAAAUUUGCAAGUCAUUUAGAGAGGGUGAAGCACAAACCACUUCUGUAAGCUUUGACUGGGCUUUCUUUAGAAAAAUCAUACUAACAGGGUUGUUUCAUAAGCCUACAGAAGAAGAUUACUCUGCUGAAAUCUUCUUGGGGUUCUCUUUGUAGGCAAACUCAGUCAGUCACUGACUCAUCUCCUUUUGGGCUCUGUCUAGGGUAUGAACAGAAAUAAAAAUCCCCAGAUGGACAUCACCUUUUGCUAGGUCUGAGCCAAGGAAACUCUUAAGUCCACCUGUGCACAUUGGUAACUGUGUUUUUCACUAAGCACAACUGGGAUCUUGGUAUCAGCCGAGGUAUCCAGGUACUUUUAAUCAAUGCUAUAACCUGAGUCUUCGGGAACCAAAUGUAGAUGGUGGUUUUGGUUUAGUUUCUAAUUACUAUCCCACAUGAUAUACAAUUUAUUUUGGACUUGGGAACAGGCAAAAAUAUUUUACCAACUUCUUCACUUCAUUAUUUUUUAUUAUUCCCUGGAAAAACAGUCUCUAGAAAGUGGAACCAGGGUUUAUGUUUCUAAUAGGAAGUCUUCUACUUACUGCUCUGAUUUUGCUUCCUGUUACAUCCCUCCCAUUCACAUGGCACUCACUUCCAGCACUGGUGGGGUUUUAUUUCAGAAAGAGAAGUCACGUUAUCUUACCAAAAUUACACAGCUGUAUCAUGUGUCAACAGGUGCUUCUGAUUUAAGAAAAGUUAUAAUAUUGAAAAGUGUGCUUCUCUGUAUAAAUGCAUACAAGAAAUGAAUGUCCUCUUUUUUCAGGGUAGGUGUUUACCUGCAUAUAACAUAAGCUUCUUUAUUUUCAUAUGAUAAAUUCUUUAUGACCGAAGAUAGUUAAGUAUUCUACAAUAUACCAAACCAAGGAAUUAUUUUAUUUAAAAGAAAGACUGCUGAUUAUUUUUAAUUUUUUAAACUUAGGUUGUUUUUAAAUUUGUAAAAUGAACAGGAAUGGUAUAUCAUGGUCCCUCAUUUGAGUCAUUUUGCUAAUAUUGAUUAGUCUAUUGUGAAGACAGGUGAAACCAGUGUUCCAUCAGUGCCAAAGUUUGUACAUAAUCCACCCAAUUUUCUAAGAGAGACCAAAGGUAGAUAGGAAAAUAAAAAUGAGUAAGUGGCAGCCACUACCAUUUGUGCUUUUUAAUCUUUUAUUAACUUCAAAUGGGGUAAAAAAAAAAAUUUUCCUUCCUUCCUUCCCUCCUUCCUUUCUUCCUUCUUUCCUUCCUUCCUUCCUUCCUUUCUUCCUUCUUUCUUUCCUUCCUUCCUUCCUUCCUUCCUUCUUUUCUUUUUUUCUCCUUACUCACUUCCUCAGUAAAUAUUCAGUAAAUAUACUGAAUACAAGGACUUGGGGCUCCUCAAAUGAAAUCAGUUUGGACCCUUGCCUUCAGAGUACUUCAGUCUAGUAGAGAAUAUGUGCAUAUAAAGUGGCGUAGGAAUUCCUAAAAGUAUCUCAUUUUCAAGGAAGCUAUGGAAGAUUCUACAAGUCCAGUUAAUCCUUACUGAUCAUUAAAAAGGGUGCCAGGAAAACAAAGAACCAAUAGAAAAUAUGAUUUCAGUAGCUAUACAACCAAUAAGUUUGAAAACAAUAGAGAAAUAGAGGAUAACUUAUGGAAUCAUAAGUUUUGAAAGAAACUAAACUAUGCAGAGAAUAUUGAGACAUAUCUAGUGAGAGAGCAGCUAAUUCAACCUAAAUAAAUGUUCUUCAUGUAACUGUACUAUAUCACCAAAAGAAAGAAAACAAAGGAAAAAAACCAGUCCGUUCAAAAUUAUAUUAGUAAAACUUGACAUCAGAAUGCAGAUAUAGCUGAUUUCCUGAAAAGUAAUUUUUAUUCUGUCUUGACAUAAGAUGAAGAGCUACCUGGGGACAAACUGUUCAUUUCCUGACUCUGUAGACAGAGUUUUAAAUAAAGUGGUAUUCAGAUAAUAAUGAAAAUUGUCGUGAAACAAAUGACCAUUCAUGCAAUGACGGGGGUCAAAAAAAAGGAUUUUUCGUUGACUUCCACAAAAUUAGACUGUCAUUAAUUGGUUGUCUUUAAAGUGCCUCAGGUAGCACUGAGAGGCUUCAGUGUUGCUCUCCAUAUAUAUUUGCCUGUACGUGCAUGUUGGUGUGUAUAUUUUUUCCUAUACAUUUGACUGGGAGGUCUUAUUAGAUCAAACAGUACCAGCAGGAAGUGAAAAUGAAAACAGAAGUUUUCAAGAUUUUCAGUCAGCAAACAAAGGACAUCAUGAUUCUAUUUUCUUUUUGCCUCUGAAGAGUGAAUAAUUUAUCAGUAAUUGUAUGUUUGUUUCUAAAAGUAUCUAAAGGGUUCCUUAGAAAUGUAACAGUUAUAAUUGGAAAUCUCUGUUGACAUAAAUUUGGAGGACAUGUUACAAGUUUAUGUUGACCCAUUGACCACAUGUAUAUGCUGGCAAAAGGCUUAUGAAAGGAAAUGACAUAUGUAACAUUUUUUAAAACACCUUUUCUGUAUGAUUAUCUUAAUAUCAAACAAUUUUCUCUCUCGUGCACACUACCAAUAUUUGCUACUAGUAUUAGUAUUUACACACACACACAAUACAGAAUAGCAGAAUUACACACACAAUAGCAGAAUGUUUCCUUGAAAAAGUGAAUUCUGCUUAUCCUUCCAUCAUGUAUGUAGUAACUUUCUUAAAUAGGUAGCUGUUGAGAGGUGUUUUGUAACUAAUCUAUAAUAUAAACAAAACAGAUGGGAUUAAAUGAAGUUGAUGCAGCUAUCACUAUUUAUGCAUUUUUUAAUUGCAAUAUAAUUGAUUUAUUAUAUUAGUUUCAGGUGUACUACAUAGUGACUCAAUAUUUUUAUACAUUACAGAAUGAUUACCACAAAUAUAGUUACCAUCUGUCACCAGACAAAAUUAUUAUAAUAUUAUUGACUAUAUUCUCCAUGCUGUAUAUUAUAUCCACAUGACUUAUUUAUUUUAUAACUGGAAUAACUUAAUCCUCUUACUACUUAAUACAUGUAUUUUUGUUAGAGCUACUUCUGAGCCCAUCUGGGGAAUAACUGCCACCUAUCAUUGUUAUCACAUUUUACAUGUUAAACAUGGUUUUGUUGCUUUGGUAGGAAGACAGGUAAAAACAUCUGGAAAACUUAAAUGUACUGUCAGAAUGAUUCCUAAGGGUAAAUAUAUCAGAAAUACCAAUGCAAUUUCUAUAAGCAAUAGAUAUGUAAUUUUUUUAUUAAACAAACUUAUUCUUAAAGAAAUAUGCUGUGACUUUUAAUCUUCUUUAAAAAUUCAUCCCCGCCCCCGCCAUUUGCCCAGGAAACAUUUUGUUAUAUUUUAAUUGUUCUUAUUAUGAUGUCUGAAAAUUCAGCAGUAGAGGGUUUUCAAGACUUGUGAGAAAAAUGUCCUUGAGAAUUUACUCUCAAUUUUUAUGCACUGCAAAGUGUCUUACAUUUAUAUUUGUCACUUUUUUUCUGGUUUUUGCUUUUCUCUCUUUAUGUCAUUUCUCUUUCUUGGCCUGUUUUUACUAGCUGUGAACAUGGGUGGGCCCUGACUUGAAAUUAGUACAGCAAAAUCUUAACCUCUAAGAUAUUCUUCAGUUUUUAAUCAAGUGCUUAUUCUUUCAGAACAAAAUGAUUCAGUUUGUUGCAGAUCCUUUACACUUAACAGAUUUAGGUUCUAAGCUUAGAAUAAUGCUACAAAGAGAAAAUUAUUUUUUAAAAACCUUGGUCCUUAUUGUGUGAGUAAAUUUAUUACCAUACACUUGACUCAUUGCUUUUGUUCUAUGACCCCUUCAAGGCUGACAUGGGUGAUGUUUUUACCAAAUGAAAGAACAACUUUGGAUUUCUUUAUAUAUGUUUCUUUUUAAUAACAUUCUUGUAGCUUUAAACAUAGUUUUGGUAUUGUGUUAGAUAUUCGAAUACAGCAUCUAAAGUUAUCUAUCAGUGAUAACUCUACCAGCUGCCUUAGGUGUGUGUCUAACCUAACCAUACUUUACACACAUCAGAUCUAAUCCUUAAGAGCCCUGUGAAGGAAGCAUCGUAUCCCCAUUUUACAGGUGAGAACAACAAUGCUUAGUGAAGUAAACUAUCAAUAGUCAUAUACAUAGAAAUGUACAGAAUUAGACUAUGAACUUAGCUGUCUCUUUUUUUUUUUAAUUUUAUUUUUUUUAUAUGGCAGGUUCUUAUUAGUCAUCCAUUUUAUACACACCAGUGUAUACAUGUCAAUCCCAAUCUCCCAACUCAUCCCACCACGACCACCCCCGCCCUGCUUUCCCCGCAUGGUGUCCAUAUGUUCGUUCUCUACAUCUGUGUCUCAAUUUCUGCCCUGCAAACCGGUUCAUCUGUACCAUUUUAUAGAGUCCACAUAUAUGCGUUAAUAUAUGAUAUUUGUUUUUCUCUUUCUGACUUACUUCAUUCUGUAUGACAGUCUCUAGAUCCAUCCACGUCUCUACAAAUGACCGAAUUUCGUUCCUUUUUAUGGCUGAGUAAUAUUCCAUUGUAUAUAUGUACCAUCUCUUCUUUAUCCAUUCGUCUGUUGAUGGGCAUUUAUGUUGCUUCCAUGACCUGGCUAUUGUAAAUAGAGCUGCAAUGAACAUUGGGGUGCAUGUCUCUUUUUGAAUUAUGGUUUUCUCUGGGUAUAUGCCCAGUAGUGGGAUUGCUGGGUCAUAUGGUAAUUCUAUUUUUAGUUGUUUAAGGAACCUACAUACUGUUCUCCAUAGUGGCUGUAUCAAUUUACAUUCCCACCAACAGUGCCAGAGGGUUCCCUCUUCUCCACACCCUCUCCAACAUUUGUUGUUUGUAGAUUUUCUGAUGAUGCCCAUUCCAACUGGUGUGAGGUGAUACCUCAUUGUAGUUUUGAUUUGCAUUUCUCUAAUAAUAGUGAUGUUGAGCAGCUUUUCAUGUGCUUCUUGGCCAUCUGUAUGUCUUCUUUGGAGAAAUGUCUAUGUAGGUCUUCUGCCCAUUUUUGGAUUGGGUUGUUUUUUUUUUAAUAUUGAGCUACAUGAGCUAUUUACAUAUUUUGGAGAUUAAUCCUUUGUCCAUUGAUUCCUUUGCAAAUAUUUUCUCCCAUUUUGAGGAUUGUCUUUUCAUCUUGUUUAUGGUUUCCUUUGCUGUGCAAAAGCUAUAAGUUUCAUUAGGUCCCAUUUGUUUAUUUUUGUUUUUAUUUCCAUUACUCUAGGAGGUGGAUCAAAAAAGAUCUUGCUGUGAUUUAUGUCAAAGAGUGUUCUUCCUAAGUUUUCCUCUAAGAGUUUUAUAGUGUCCAGUCUUACAUUUAAGUCUUUAAUCCAUUUUGAGUUUAUUUUUGUAUAUGGUGUUAGGGAGUGUUCUAAUUUCAUUCUUUUACAUGUAGCUGUCCAGUUUUCCCAGCACCACUUAUUGAAGAGGCUGUCUUUUCUGCAUUGUAUAUCCUUACCUCCUUUGUCAUAGAUUAGUUGGCCAUAGGUGCGUGGGUUUAUCUCUAGGCUUUCUAUCCUGUUCCAUUGAUCUAUAUUUCUGUUCUUGUGCCAGUACCAUAUUGUCUUGAUUAUUGUAGCUUUGUAGUAUAGUCUGAAGUCAGGGAGUCUGACUCCUCCAGCUCCGUUUUUUUCCCUCAAGACCACUUUGGCUAUUCGGGGUCUUUUGUGUUUCCAUACAAACUUUAAGACUUUUUGUUCUAAUUCCGUAAAAUAUGCCAUUGGUAAUUUGAUAGGGAUUGCAUUGAAUCUGUAGAUUGCUUUGGGUAGUAUAGUCAUUUUCACAAUAUUGAUUCUUCCAAUCUAAGAACAUGGUAUAUCUCUCCAUCUGUUGGUAUCAUCUUUAAUUUCUUUCAUCAGUGUCUUAUAGUUUUCUGCAUACAGGUCUUUUGUCUCCCUAGGUAGGUUUAUUCCUAGGUAUUUUAUUCUUUUUGUUACAAUGGUAAAUGGGAGUGUUUCCUUAAUUUAUCUUUCAGAUUUUUCAUCAUUAGUGUAUAGGAAUGCAAGAGAUUUCUGUGCAUUAAUUUUGUAUUCUGCAACUUUACCAAAUUCAUUGAUUAGCUCUAGUAGUUUUCUGAUUAGCUCUAGACAGUUUUACUUCUUCUUUUCCAAUUUGUAUUCCUUUUAUUUCUUUUACUUCUCUGAUUGCUGUGGCUGGGACUUCCAAAACUAUGUUGAAUAAUAGUCGUGAGAGUGGACAUCCUUGUCUUGUUCCUGAUCUUAGAGGAAAUGCUUUCAGUUUUUCACCAUUGAGAAUGAUGUUUGCUGUGGGUUUGUCAUAUAUGGCCUUUAUUAUGUUGAGCUAGGUUCCCUCUAUGCCCACUUUCUGGAGAGUUUUUAUCAUAAAUGAGUGUUGAAUUUUGUUAAAGGCUUUUUCUCCAUCUAUUGAGACGAUCAUAUGGUUUUUCUUCUUCAGUUUGUUAUGGUGUAUCACAUUGAUUGAUUUGCGUAUAUUGAAGAAUCCUUGCAUCCCUGGGAUAAAUCCCACCUGGUCAUGGUGUAUGAUCCUUUUAAUGUGUUGUUGGAUUCUGUUUGCUAGUAUUUUGUUGAGGAUUUUUGCAUCUCUAUUCAUCAGUGAUAUUGGUCUGUAAUUUUCUUUUUUUGUAGUAUCUUUUCCUGGUUUUGGUAUCAGGGUGAUGGUGACCUCAUAGUAUGAGUUUGGGAGUGUUCCUUCCUCUGCAAUUUUUUGGAAGAGUGUGAGAAGGAUGGGUGUUAGCUCUUCUCUAAAUGUUUGAUAGAAUUCACCUGUGAAGCCAUCUGGUCCUGGACUUUUGUUUGUUGGAAGAUUUUUUAUUUUUUAUUUUUUUAUUUUUCUGUACGCGGGCCUCUCACUGUUGUGGCCUCUCCCGUUGCGGAGCACAGGCUCCGGACGCGCAGGCUCAGUGGCCAUGGCUCACGGGCCUAGCCACUCCGCAGCAUGUGGGAUCUUCCCGGACCGAGGCACGAACCCGUGUCCCCUGCAUCAGCAGGCGAACUCUCAACCACUAUGCCACCAGGGAAGCCCUGUUGGAAGAUUUUUAAUCACAGUUUCAGUUUCGUUACUUAUGAUUGGUCUGUUUGUAUUUUCUGUUUCUUCCUGGUUCAGUCUUGGAAGAUUAUACUUAUCUAAGAAUUUGUCCAUUUCUUCCAGGUUGUCCAUUUUAUUGGCAUAGAGUUGCUUGUAGUAGUCUCAGGAUGCUUUGUAUUUUUUCGGUGUCUGUUGUAACUUCUUUUUCAUUUCUAAUUUUAUUGAUUUGAGUCCUCUCCCUCUUUUUCUUGAUGAGUCUGGCUAAUGGUUUAUCAAUUUUGUUUAUCUUCUCAAAGAACCAGCUUUUAGUUUUAUUGAUCUUUGCUAUUGUUUUCUUUGUUUCUAUUUCAUUUAUUCUGCUCUGAUCUUUAUGAUUUCUUUCCUUCUGCUAACUUUGGGUUUUGUUUGUUCUUUCUCUAGUUCCUUUAGAUGUAAGGUUAGAUUGUUUGAGAUUUUUCUUGUUUCUUGAGGUAGGCUUGUAUAGCUAUAAACUUCCCUCUUAGAACUGCUUUUGCCACAUCCCAUAGGUUUUGGAUUGUCGUGUUUUCAUUUUCAUUUGUCUCUAGGUAUUUUUUGAUUUCCUCUUUGAUUUCUUCAGUGAUCUCUUGGUUAUUUAGUAACGUAUUGUUUAGCCUUCAUGUGUCUGUGUUAUUUUUUUUUUCCCCUGUAAUUGAUUUCUAAUCUCGUUGUGUUGUGGUCAGAAAAGAUGCUUCGUAUGAUUUCAAUUUUCUUAAAUUUACUGAGACUUGAUUUGUGACCCAAGAUGUGAUCUAUCCUGGAGAAUGUUCUGUGCACACUUGAGAAGAAAGUGUAAUCUGCUGUUUUGGGAUGGAAUGUCCUAUAAAUAUCAAUUAAAUCUAUCUGGUUUAUUGUGUCAUUUAAAGCUUGUGUUUCCUUAUUAAUUUUCUGUUUGGAUGAUCUGUCCAUUGCUGUAAGUGAGGUGUUAAAAUCCCCCACUAUUAUUGUGUUACUGUCGAUUUCCUCUUUUAUAGCUGUUAGCAGUUGCCUUAUGUAUUGAGGUGCUCCUAUGUUGGAUGUCUAUAUGUCUAUAAUUGUUAUAUCUUCUUCUUGGAUUGAUCCCUUGAUCAUUAUGUAGUGUCCUUCCUUGUCUCUUGUAACAUUCUUUAUUUUAAAGUCUAUUUUAUCUGAUAUGAGUAUUGCUACCCCAGCUUUCUUCUGAUUUCCAUUUGCAUGGAAUAUCUUUUUCCAUCCCCUCACUUUCAGUCUGUAUGUGUCCCUAGGUCUGAAGUGGGUCUCUUGUAGACAGCAUAUAUAUGGGUCUUGUUUUUGUAUCCAUUCAGCAAGCUGUGUCUAUUGGUUGGAGCACUUAAUCCAUUCACGUUAAAGGUAAUUAUCAAUAUGUAUGUUCCUAUUAUCAUUUUCUCAAUUGUUCUCGGUUUGUUUUUUGUAGGUCCUUUUCUUCUCUUGUGUUUCCCACUUAGAGAAGUUCCUUUAGCAUUUGUUGUAGAGCUGGUUUGGUGGUGCUGAAUUGUCUUAGCUUUUGCUUGUCUGUAAAGCUUUUGAUUUCUCCAUAGAAUCUGAAUGAGAUCCUUGCUGGGUAGAGUAAUCUUGGUUGUAGUUUCUUCCCUUUCAUCACUUUAAGUAUAUUAUGCCGCUCCCUUCUGGCUUGUAGAGUUUCUGCUGAGAAAUCAGCUGUUAACCUUAUGGGAGUUCCUUUGUAUGUUAUAUGUCGUUUUUCCCUUGCUGCUUUCAAUAAUUUUUCUUUGUCUUUAAUUUUUGCCAGUUUGAUUACUGUGUGUCUCGGCAUGUUUCUCCUUGGGUUUAUUCUGUAUGGGACUCUCUGCACUUCCUGGACUUGGGUGGCUAUUUCCUUUCCCACAUUAGGGAAGUUUUCGAUUAUAAUCUCUUGAAAUAUUUUCUUGGGUCCUUUUUCUCUCUCUUCUCCUUCUGGGACCCCUAUAAUGCGAAUGUUGUUGCGUUUAAGAUUGUCCCAGAAGUCUCUUAGGUUGUCUUCAUUUCUUUUCAUUCUUUUUUCUUUAUUCUGUUUGGUGGCAGUGAAUUCCACCAUUCUGUCUUCCAGGUCACUUAUCCAUUCUUCUGCCUCAGUUAUUCUGCUAUUGAUUCCUUCUAGUGUGUUUUUCAUUUCAGUUAUUGUAUUGUUCAUCUCUGUUUGUUUGUUCUUUAAUUCUUCUAGAUCUUUGUUGAACAUUUCUUGCAUCUUCUCAAUCUUUGCCUCCAUUCUUUUUCCGAGGUCCUGGGUCAUCUUCACUAUCGUUAUUCUGAAUUCUUUUUCUGGAAGGUUGCCUAUCUCCACUUCAUUUAAUUGUUUUUCCUGGGGUUUUAUCUUGUUCCUUCAUCUGGUACAUAGCCCUCUACCUUUUCAUCUUGUCUAUCUUCUGUGAAUGUGGUUUUUGUUCCACAGGCUGCAGGAUUGUAGUUAUUCUUGCUUCUGCUGUCUGCCCUCUGGUGGAUGAGGCUAUCAAAGAGGCUUGUGGAAGUUUCCUGGUGGGAGGGCCUGGUAGUGGGUAGAGCUGGCUGUUGCUCUGGUGGGCAGAGCUCAGUAAAACUUUAAUCCACUUGUCUACUGAUGGGUGGGGCUGGGUCCCCUCCCUGUUGGUUGUUUGGCCUGAGGCGACCCAACACUAGAGCCUACCCAGACUCUUAGGUGGGGCUAAUGGCAGACUCUGGGAGGGCUCACACCAAGGCAUACUUCCCAGAACUUCUGCUGCCAGUGUCCUUGUCCUCACUGUGAGACAGAGCCACCCCCCCACCUCUGCAGCAGACCCUCCAACUCUAGCAGGCAGGUCUGGUUCAGUCUCUGUGGGGUCACUGUUCCUUCCCCUGGGUCCCAAUGCACACACUACUUUGUGUGUGCCCUCCAAGAGUGGAGUCUCUGUUUCCCCCAGUCCUGUCAAAGUCCUGCAAUCAAAUCCCACUAGCCUUCAAAGUCUGAUUCUCUAGGAAUUCCUACUCCCGUUGCCAGACCCACAGGUUGGGAAGCCUGACGUGGGGCUCAGAACCUUCACUCCAGUGGCUGGGCUUCUGUGUUAUAAGUGUUCUCCAGUUUGUGAGUCACCCACCCAGUAGUUAUGGGAUUUGAUUUUAUUGUGAUUGUGCCCCUCCUACUGUCUCAUUGUGGCUUCUCCUUUGUCUUUGGAUGUGGGGUAUCUUUUUUGGUGAGUUCCAGUGUCUUCCUGUCGAUGAUUGUUCAGCAGUUAGUUGUGAUUUCAGUGCUCUUGGAAGACGGAGUGAGAGCACAUCCUUCUACUCCACCAUCUUGAACCAGUCUUCUUUAAUUUAUUUAAUUUUUUUUUUUUUGUCUGCGUUGGGUCUUCAUUGCUGUGCACGGGCUUUCUCUAGUUGUGAUGAAUGGGGGCUACUCUUCGUUGCAGUGCGCGGGCCUCUCACUGCGGUGGCUUCUCUUGUUGCAGAGCAUGGGCUCCAGGCACGUGGGCUUCAGCAGUUGUGGCACGCAGGCUCAGUAGUUGUGGCUCAUGGGCUCUAAAGUGUCAGCUCAGCAUUUGUGGCGCACGGGCUUUGUUGCUCCGCGGCAUGUGGGAUCUUUCUGGACCAGGGCUCGAACCCAUGUCCCCUGCAUUGGCAGGCGGAUUCCCAACCACUGCGCCACCAGGGAAGCCCUAGCUAUCUCUUUUGAAUGCACUACACCAAAGGUUCUCAGAGUCAGUUUUCACUAACUAGUAGUGAAAUGAGAAGAGUUAAAACAAACUAGUGAGUUUUCAUUAUGCCAAUUGUUACUGUUAUCUGCUCUCUUUGUCAUGAUUCCAUUUCUUCUGUAAAAUAAUUGUGAGAGUCAACAAUUUCCUUAAAAUAGUUGAUUGUUACAGCAAAUGGAAAAGGAAAUCCUUGGAAGGACUAAACAUUAGCAAUCAGUUUUCCCACCUUCCCCCCUCUCCCCACAGUUUACUGGUCUGGGAAAUUCAGAAUUUUAGGAGCCGUUAUUCUACACCACACUCUAUCUUUUAAUAACAAAAACCACUGCUACGCAUGCACUCACCGAUACCUCCUAGGUAGCAGUCACUGUUUUAGACACUUGACAUACAUUAUCUUGUUUCAUCUUCAUGACAUCUCUGUAAGGCAGAUACCAUUACUCCCAUUUUAAGAAAUAAGGAACUUCUGUUAAAUAUUAUCCAGCUCUGUAGAAGCGGUCUGCCUCCAGAGACUGUUUUUCCUACCGUGCUGGACUGUCACCCUUCUUCUAUAGAGAAUCAGUAGCCUCACAGAGAGUCAGACAACCAUUCUGGAUGGUUCUUGAAAGCAAUGAACAAACCCUUACUACAUCCCACUAUUUUGGAUCGGUCCCCAUUAAUCUGUGAUCUGAUGUUUUAGACCUGGAACCUCAUGUAGCAGAUGGACACACGGACUGAGAGCAGGUACCUCAGAAAAAUCCAGGGCUUUUACUAAAAAGGGGAAUAAAUCCUGGGUGGGCAGAAACAACAGAUGUUAUCUUAAGAACGUUUCAGGUGAACUUUUAUCUCUACUCUGGCUCUCAGGUGAACUGCCCCUCUCUUCAUCAAGCCUUCAUCAGUCUACCAGCCAGAAACAAACUGUCUUUGCUCUGAUCCUUCAGGGUAGUUUGUGUUUCUCACGAGACUCAAACAUCUUCUGCUUUGCACUGUGUACAUUGUAGUUAGUUAUUAAUGACCAAGUCUUUAUUUUCUUCUAGAUCUUUUUAUCCCCUCCCUCAUCCCCCAAGGGACUUUAUAUGGUUCCCCACAAUAUUGUGCAACCAGCUGAAAUAAAUAGGGGAGGAUAUCCAAGUAAAAGAGAAAACAAAGCCAGGAAUCACUUUACUCCCCCCAAAGCAUGGACUGUCAACAAAUGCCUGUGCAGAUAUCCAGACAGGUGGAAAAUGUCCUACCUGAAAGCAAAGCAGGAGACACAGUCAGAGGGCCCACGGUUUUAGAUAAAAUGAAAGUAACCUUUAGUUGAGGUCAAGCAUAGCCUUUCAUGCUGCUGAGACAGGCCUUGAUAGACCGGUUACUGGGAGGGGGUGACAGUUCUCAUGUCAGAUCCCUGCCUGGAGGGGAAUGAGGAGUUUCCGUGUGACCAGUUGUCGUCGGGGUCCUCAGGUCUGGAAUGUAAGCCGCUGGCGGUCAGGAGCCUCAUUGAAUUUAGCACAGGGCCACGCUCCCCCGGCCUGGGCCUGGUCAAUGAAUGGUCUUUGGAAGAAUGGCUAAGAAUAGUUUCAAAGUUGCUGUCUAGGUUCUUGGAUGUAAUUUAGUUGAAACCCCUUGACUGCAAUGUAAACAGGUUCUUUCAAAGAUAAAAUAAGUAACUUAACAAUAGCAGACUAUUUCUGUCCAUUAUUCAAUCACAAUGGAAAACAUCUUAUAUUUUCCUUGGUUGUGAGCCACAGUUUGAGCUAAUUCGCAAAUUACCUUUCUUUUAUGAUUUUCCCUUCUUUCCCCAGGAAACAUGCCAUCCUUUAACGCAAUGUAGAAUAUGAAGGGUGCGCGUCACCUUCACCAUCAACACUUCCUUUGAAUGCAGACUUGAGCUCUUAACUGGAAGCAGGGAGCCCUAGGCCUUCCUCAUAAACAAGUAAUGGAGCCCUCGACCCCCCUUGUAAAGGGCUAUUUAUUAACAUAUACCAUCACCAAACAACAUUUUACAGUUCCAUGCCCUCACACCGUUACACCACUGUCUGCUCCAUGGUAAGCUGAGGGAGGCCUUUGGCCAUCUGUUUCAUUAAAUACCAGAGGCAGUGAACGGUAUCUGAACUUUAUAAAGCAAGUGUCCAGGCUUCCCGCUUCACCAGUCUCCCCCUUCCUCUUCUGCUGCCACUGCUGCCACCACUACCACCGCCGCCGCCGCCAUAUUUUUUUUGUUUGAACGCUCACAUUGUAAAUUAGUGUAUUCACACAUCAAUUUUAAAAGGCUCACUGUGUUAUAAGAUGGGACAAAGCGAGCUCAGUAACAGCUCGUGCACAGUGCAGGUGGUCGAGCUAGCUGCUCCCUAGAUCAAAAGUCAAACAACUGUGAAUCUUCUUUUGAAAGUGCAGUUAGGGAGACAAGGCAAGGCUUAUCUGCACAAACAAGAAUGAGUUAUAGAUAUACAUCGCAAAUGCAGGAGGACAAAAAGGGGUUUCAUAAUCUUGCAGGAUAAGAAAACCUUCUAAUGCUGAAAAUUCUGAGGGCAUCUCUGGAAUAUGUAGCCACUUUUUUCUUUCUUUCUUUCUUUUUCUUUUCUUUUUUUUUUUUUUUUUUGUAAAAUUAGUCUUUUAUUGUGUGGCAAUUGGUAAUUAUUAUUUAUGCUUUGGUGCUGUUCCUAAAGUAGCUAAGUUUUUUUUUUAAGCCACGUUGGGGGCAGGAAAUAGCUCCCCUUUCAUGGCUGUAUUUUAUUUUUCAGCAGCAUUUAAGGACAGACUCCUAUUUAUACCACACAAGCAGUUUUGUCUGUUGUAAACAAAGUAAGUGGCUGGGAAUUGUGCUUUCCCAGAAAUGUUUUCCAGGGAAGCCAUAAUAAGAAACAACUGUGUACAUCUUGAGAUUUUUGUCAUCUAGGUAUUAAGAAAGAAUUCUUUGCAUUCAUGGAAACAAAAAAGAAAGAAAACACUGUUUAUAAAGAAAGAUGUUCAAUAUCCAGAAAUGUAAUUAAAAUAUUUCUUAAACUGCAAAAGUUGGCCACUUACUAGUAGUAAUUGAGGUUGUUUUCUUUUUUUUUAAUUAUCGCUAACAUUUUUUGACAAGGUAGUAGCUGAAAUGACAGGAGGCGUUUUCUUUUUUUAACCUCAAUCUGCUAUUUAAAAAGUUAGUGGCUUCUUUUGUAAAAUUAUGUGAAGAACUUUGGAACUGAAGUAUGAAUAUCAAUGGAAAAAAUGCAACAGUGGUAAAUUUUAUGAAAAAUUUUAAAAGAACAUUGAAGAGGCUUAGAAUUAUGAAAGAACAGCAUAGUUUCUUAUACAAUUAUAGAUUACAUAGGAAAAAGCCACUCUCCAUCUUCUGAUAUCUUAAUGAUUUCAUGAUGAAAAAAAAGAAACCUAUCAGCUUUUCAAUUCUCAAAUCAGUCAAAGGUGUCUGAAUCAGGUCCCCAAGGACUUUCAUAAAACCAUGCUCUCUGUCUCAGGGCGUAAGGCAGUGAUCCCUAUCCUGGGGUGGGUUUCACAGAGUCUCUGAACCACUGGAGUUUCCUGAAAAUAUAUGUGUAUGUGUGUAUAUGCAUCAUUCUGAGAAUUUUCCAUAAAAUUUUCUAAAUAGUCCACAACCAACUCCAAAAAAGUUGAGAAACGAGAUAUUGUCACAAAACUGUGUACCAUGUCUUAGCUAAAAACCACUUAAUUACUUUGAUAUUCUGGCUUAUUUGAAAUGUAUUGGUCUACAAGAAACACUUAUUUUGAAUUUUCUGCAAAGUUUUACAAGAAACUUUUCAGGGAUGCUUUCUUUGGGAAAUCAGAUCAUUUAUCAAAAUUAAGUCCUUAGAGACAGUCAGAACAAGUAAAAUAUAUAUAAGGGGCUUAUAGUUUGUAAGGCACAUUCACAUAUAUUAUUUCAUUUAAUGUAGCCUUCAUAAGAAGUCUGUGAUUUGGUAUCGUCAUUAUUAUCCUUAUGUUAUAGAUAAUUGAGACCUACAAAAGUUGAGUCUUGCCCAAGGUCAUUCCACCAAGAUGGAGCAAAGUUGGACCAAUACCCUGGUAUUAGCCUCAGAAACCAUGUUUUUAGCAGCCUCUUAACAGCAAUAUCCUCAGCAGCAUCUUCUUCAACAGCAAAUAUUUAAUGUUUAGUGUGUCAAAGGGAAUCCGUUAGUCAUCAGAGAUUCAACAAACUCAAAACUUUACUCCUAGGUACCUUAAUAUUUUUAAGAAACAACAAUACAUAGUAACUUGUGCUGUACAGUCAGUGAGAGAUAAAAUGGUAAGUGGGGGACAAGAAGAAGAAAUCCCUGGGGCCCACGGUCAGGUAAGACUUUAUAGAGGAGAUGGCAGGUACCUGGCCUAAAAGUUACUGCCUGAUUCUUAAGCCACACGUGGGGUAACGCCGCUUCCCUUUUUAUGGCAGCCUCAAGGUAAUAACUUCCAGCAGCAGAAUUUGAAUUGGGGGCAGGAGGAUGUGUUAGAAACAUCUGUUUGGCCACAACUGUGUUGAGGGUAUAUAGGAAGUUAACAACUUGUAACUGCAUCUGCUUAUAAAGUAAAUAUGAUCCAAAGUCUUCUUGAUAAUUUUUUUUUAAUUGCAGUGGAGUUUAAGAUUUUCUUCAAAUAAGUAAGAAAGGCUUGAAGUCACCUCAGUAGUUCUAAUUAUAAACAAAUAUGAAAAACCUUUUCACACAUUUUAUUUACCCCAAUUUUAGAAAGAUACUGAGAACUUUCAUACCCUUGACUAAAAUUAUGUAUUUAUAAAAUUUUAUAGUCUUUGAAAUUAUACUGCAUAUUAACUAUACCUUCUAUAUGUGCGAUUCGUGAAUAGACGCAAAGAAUGUUGGCAAAGUACGUGAACUAUUGUAUUGUGGCACGUUAAUUAGUUGAUAAGUGUAUCACUUUAAAACACUGAAUUUUUUGUAUAUUCCAGUUAAAUCUUUGUCAUCAAAUGUGUUUAUAGAGGUUUAGUUAGUAGCAAACUUGCCCAGCCAAUAAAGAAAAGCAUUCAUUUUCUGUUCUGUAUAAGUGAUCUGAAGCCAUAGCCUUUAGGUCUUUUAAUCUGUUCAAGGCCAAGCUAUUUAUAUGGAUAAUUUUUAAAGCUUCUGUAUAAAGAAAACAAGAACAUUUUAUUUAUUCACUGGGGUUUUUAUGUGCCUUGAAAUUGCAUAGAUAAAGUAUUUUCUGGCUCAUGGAUCUAGAGGAGAUAAAAGGUCUCCUAUUUUAUAAGGCUUUAUGUAAGCUUUUCAAAUGUACAGUUUUCUUACGGCUAGAAUUUUUUAAAUAAAACAUUAUUUCACUAUUACAAUUGGAGUUUAAUGUGGGCAUCUUUUUCCUUCCCAGAAUUGCAUGUUAAAUUAUGUGUUUAAGAUCGUUUUUAUUGCAUUUUUACCUCCUGGAUUUUGAUAAUUCUCAUGUUGGAGAAAUUAAUUUACCAAUCCUCAUUUUUAGUAUUGGGCAACUAUUUAAUACGACUAGGAGUGGAAAACCCAGAAAUCAGAUUUAAGAGGCAGAGUGAAAGGUAUAACUGACUUUUGCAGCAUAUUGGUCUGAGGACGAAAAAUUAUUUACCUCCCCCUCCUUAAGAAUUUUUGCUGAGGCUGGUAGACUGAAAAGGAAAAAAGAGGCAUUUUUUUUUAACUCUGGGGCAACUGGAUUCAGACCAGAUUCUAGGUGAACAUUAGCUGCUGUUAGCUUUGCCAUGUCAGGGCCAAGAAACAGCUUUCCCUGGCUGGAGCAUUCCCAAGCUAUCAUGGCCAUCAGACAGGUGGGGAAUAAAUAUUGUAGAAUGGUGGGACAUUUGAAGAGCAAGCUCCUGACCCCCAGGACUCAAUUUGGACAAGCUUCAAUUGGAGCAAACAGGUGUUCCUGGGAGGAACUGUCCUCAGGUGGCUGGGGGUGUGCCAUUCUUUCACACACAUAAAAAGUUCCCUUUCCCUCUGCCCGCAGGAAAAUUAGAAUUAACUACAGCUUUUUCUUUUGAAAUGGAAAAAGAGAAAUAAAAAUAUGGUACCAGGUUUUGGCUCCAACUGGAUUUCCAUGGAGCAUGUAAUCUAUGAUGAAUGAUGAGAAUUCUGGAAGCAAAGCAUCCUUGCAGUUUUUAACAUUGGAGAUGCCAUAAAAACUGAAUGAAUGCAAAUAAUCUUUUUACCCAUGGCUGUACCUAUAUAAGAUGGAGUAGUCUUUUCUUCUGUUAUUCAUUUGUUCAUUCACCAUAUAUUUCAUGAGCACUUGCAAUUUUCUAAACACUAGGCUAAGUGCUGGGCAUAGAGUAUAAGACAGAAAAAGGCCCUGCCCUCCAGGGACUUAGCCUAAAUUGUAGUAAUAGUAAUUGGUUGGAACAUGAAAAUGAACCUAAAUAGUCUUUGGGAAACUGUGCAUUGAAAGUACUUGCUGGCAUCAGAAAGAUUUUUUUUUUUUUCUGUAAUGCCACCACAUUGAGGAUAUGACUAACAUUUUAUUUGGGGGUCAUUCUUUUUAAAUCAACUUUUGCUAUAAAACAUAAAAUAGAAAUAUUAAAGAAAAACUUUAAAAGAAAAAAGUUGUUUUUAAUCCCUCUUCCUAGAAACAAGCUACUCUGUUGAUACAAGUAUUUCCCUCUAGUCUUUCCGUCAUGAUCCAUGUAUAUUGCUCUUCUCACUUAAUAUUGUAUCUUAAAUGUAUUUCUCAAUUUCCACAUCUUCAUGAUUAUAUUUUUCCUAGUUAAAAAUUUAAUGAAAGUUUUAACAAACCUCUUA